ensembl:lncRNA novel transcript, antisense to CSMD1
ACUGGCUUUUGAUGGAAACAACGAUAUAUGUGAUGACCCUUUCUGGACAGGAGGGAGUCCAGGUCAAGGCAUAAUACUCACAUACACAGCUGGGCUUGUUGCCAGACCACUGAUUGUUCUGCUGACAGGUGAUAACUCUCUCCCCCACCAGCUCAAAGGCCGCCGGGCAUUCAAAGACAGUGUCUUGCUCUGUUGCCCAGACUGCAGUGCACUGCUGUAAUCUUGGCUCGCUACAACCUCCACCUCCCAGGUUCAAGCAAUUGUCCUGUCUCAGCCUCCAGAGUAGCUGGGACUGCAGGUGCAUGACACCAUGCCCAGUCCCCUUGUGCUGCGAUAACAGAAAAACAUAGACUGGGUAAUGUAUGAAGAGCAGAAAUGUAUUUCUCAUGGUUCAAGAGGCUAGGAAGAUCAAGAUAAAGGCACUGGGAAGGCUGGGAGCCAUCAUGGCUGACUCACUAUGAUCUCAGGCUCCUGGGCUCAAGUGAUCUUUCGACCUCAGCCCCUGGAGUGGCUGGGACAACAGACAGCAAAUUUAACCAAGGUAAAUUUCAGCACCUUGAUUCACGUAUAUUGACAUUGAGGUGAAGAACUAUGACCUGUUAGAAUAAAACUGAUCAAAGAUGACCACAAAAGAUUUUAGUGUCUACCAUCUCUAAAAGGAACAUCACUUUUCAAAUCAAUUAAUGGAAAAGGAAGCUGGAGACUGUCCACCUGCUCUUUCCCUCAAUUGCCUCCUCUCCUCCUUCAAUGUCAUCUUAAGUGACUUCUCCUUAUUAAACACCAGGACAGAUGAAGAUACAAGGCAAUAUAA